GGUCGCGUGGCCAAAUGGCAAGGCGUCUGGCUACGAACCAGAAGAUUGUGGGGAUUGUGGGUUCGAUCCCCACCGUGACCU
rnacentral:tRNA from 1 species